UACGAAGGGGGCUAGCGUUGCUCGGAAUCACUGGGCGUAAAGCGCACGUAGGCGGCUUUUUAAGUCAGGGGUGAAAUCCUGGAGCUCAACUCCAGAACUGCCUUUGAUACUGGGAAACUUGAGUCCGGGAGAGGUGAGUGGAACUCCGAGUGUAGAGGUGAAAUACGUAGAUAUUCGGAAGAACACCAGUGGCGAAGGCGGCUCACUGGCCCGGUACUGACGCUGAGGUGCGAAAGCGUGGGGAGCAAACAGG
rnacentral:rRNA from 1 species